AUGAACGCUGGCGGCGUGCCUAAUCCAUGCAAGUCGAGCGAACAGACGAGGAGCUUGCUCCUCUGACGUUAGCGGCGGACGGGUGAGUAACACGUGGAUAACCUACCUAUAAGACUGGGAUAACUUCGGGCAACCGGAGCUAAUACCGGAUAAUAUAUUGAACCGCAUGGUUCAAUAGUGAAAGACGGUUUUGCUGUCACUUAUAGAUGGAUCCGCGCCGCAUUAGCUAGUUGGUAAGGUAACGGCUUACCAAGGCAACGAUGCGUAGCCGACCUGAGAGGGUGAUCGGCCACCCUGGAACUGAGACACGGUCCAGACUCCUACGGGAGGAAGCAGUAGGGAAUCUUCCGCAAUGGGCGAAAGCCUGACGGAGCAACGCCGCGUGAGUGAUGAAGGUCUUCGGAUCGUAAAACUCUGUUAUUAGGGAAGAACAAAUGUGUAAGUAACUAUGCACGUCUUGACGGUACCUAAUCAGAAAGCCACGGCUAACUACGUG
rnacentral:rRNA from 1 species